rnacentral:rRNA from 1 species
AACGAACGCUGGCGGCAUGCCUAACACAUGCAAGUCGAACGAGACCUUCGGGUCUAGUGGCGCACGGGUGUGUAACGCGUGGGAAUCUGCCCUUGGGUUCGGAAUAACUCAGAGAAAUUUGAGCUAAUACCGGAUGAUGACGAAAGUCCAAAGAUUUAUCGCCCAGGGAUGAGCCCGCGUAAGAUUAGCUUGUUGGUGGGGUAAUGGCCUACCAAGGCGACGAUCUUUAGCUGGUCUGAGAGGAUGAUCAGCCACACUGGGACUGAGACACGGCCCAGACUCCUACGGGAGGCAGCAGUGGGGAAUAUUGGACAAUGGGCGCAAGCCUGAUCCAGCAAUGCCGCGUGAGUGAUGAAGGCCUUAGGGUUGUAAAGCUCUUUUACCAGGGAUGAUAAUGACAGUACCUGGAGAAUAAGCUCCGGCUAACUCCGUG